rnacentral:rRNA from 1 species
AAACUUACCUACCCUUGACAUGGUCGGAAUCCUGAAGAGAUUCGGGAGUGCUCGAAAGAGAACCGGCGCACAGGUGCUGCAUGGCUGUCGUCAGCUCGUGUCGUGAGAUGUUGGGUUAAGUCCCGCAACGAGCGCAACCCUUGUCCUUAGUUGCUACGCAAGAGCACUCUAAGGAGACUGCCGGUGACAAACCGGAGGAAGGUGGGGAUGACGUCAAGUCCUCAUGGCCCUUAUGGGUAGGGCUUCACACGUCAUACAAUGGUCGGAACAGAGGGUUGCCAACCCGCGAGGGGGAGCUAAUCCCAGAAAACCGAUCGUAGUCCGGAUUGCACUCUGCAACUCGAGUGCAUGAAGCUGGAAUCGCUAGUAAUCGCGGAUCAGCAUG